rnacentral:rRNA from 1 species
GAUGAACGCUGGCGGCGUGCCUAAUACAUGCAAGUCGAGCGAACGGACGAGAAGCUUGCUUCUCUGAUGUUAGCGGCGGACGGGUGAGUAACACGUGGAUAACCUACCUAUAAGACUGGGAUAACUUCGGGAAACCGGAGCUAAUACCGGAUAAUAUUUUGAACCGCAUGGUUCAAAAGUGAAAGACGGUCUUGCUGUCACUUAUAGAUGGAUCCGCGCUGCAUUAGCUAGUUGGUAAGGUAACGGCUUACCAAGGCAACGAUGCAUAGCCGACCUGAGAGGGUGAUCGGCCACACUGGAACUGAGACACGGUCCAGACUCCUACGGGAGGCAGCAGUAGGGAAUCUUCCGCAAUGGGCGAAAGCCUGACGGAGCAACGCCGCGUGAGUGAUGAAGGUCUUCGGAUCGUAAAACUCUGUUAUUAGGGAAGAACAUAUGUGUAAGUAACUGUGCACAUCUUGACGGUACCUAAUCAGAAAGCCACGGCUAACUACGUGCCAGCAGCCGCGGUAAUACGUAGGUGGCAAGCGUUAUCCGGAAUUAUUGGGCGUAAAGCGCGCGUAGGCGGUUUUUUAAGUCUGAUGUGAAAGCCCACGGCUCAACCGUGGAGGGUCAUUGGAAACUGGAAAACUUGAGUGCAGAAGAGGAAAGUGGAAUUCCAUGUGUAGCGGUGAAAUGCGCAGAGAUAUGGAGGAACACCAGUGGCGAAGGCGACUUUCUGGUCUGUAACUGACGCUGAUGUGCGAAAGCGUGGGGAUCAAACAGGAUUAGAUACCCUGGUAGUCCACGCCGUAAACGAUGAGUGCUAAGUGUUAGGGGGUUUCCGCCCCUUAGUGCUGCAGCUAACGCAUUAAGCACUCCGCCUGGGGAGUACGACCGCAAGGUUGAAACUCAAAGGAAUUGACGGGGACCCGCACAAGCGGUGGAGCAUGUGGUUUAAUUCGAAGCAACGCGAAGAACCUUACCAAAUCUUGACAUCCUUUGACAACUCUAGAGAUAGAGCCUUCCCCUUCGGGGGACAAAGUGACAGGUGGUGCAUGGUUGUCGUCAGCUCGUGUCGUGAGAUGUUGGGUUAAGUCCCGCAACGAGCGCAACCCUUAAGCUUAGUUGCCAUCAUUAAGUUGGGCACUCUAAGUUGACUGCCGGUGACAAACCGGAGGAAGGUGGGGAUGACGUCAAAUCAUCAUGCCCCUUAUGAUUUGGGCUACACACGUGCUACAAUGGACAAUACGAAGGGCAGCGAAACCGCGAGGUCAAGCAAAUCCCAUAAAGUUGUUCUCAGUUCGGAUUGUAGUCUGCAACUCGACUACAUGAAGCUGGAAUCGCUAGUAAUCGUAGAUCAGCAUGCUACGGUGAAUACGUUCCCGGGUCU